rnacentral:ncRNA from 1 species
AGGAUAGGUCCGAUCCAAGGUGCCUCGCCUGCAAGCUCGCGAGGAUAAUCGGGAAAGCGAUGUGAAUUCGCUGCUGUCCCCGCAACGGUGAUCGAGUGCUCCAUGCGAAGCCACUGUCGAGCGUCAAGGCCGACGGGAAGGCGCAUGGCGCGGGUGAGCCAUCUCACCACCUCGUCAGCCCGGAGACCGGCCUUGGGACGAUAACCACG